rnacentral:rRNA from 1 species
UACAGAGGUCCCAAGCGUUGUUCGGAUUCAUUGGGCGUAAAGGGUGCGUAGGUGGCGCCGUAAGUCGGGUGUGAAAUUUCGGAGCUUAACUCCGAAACUGCAUUCGAUACUGCGGUGCUUGAGGAUUGGAGAGGAGACUGGAAUUCAUGGUGUAGCAGUGAAAUGCGUAGAGAUCAUGAGGAAGACCAGUGGCGAAGGCGGGUCUCUGGACAGUUCCUGACACUGAGGCACGAAGGCCAGGGGAGCAAACGGG